GCUGGUGUGGCCGAGUGGUUAAGGCGUUGGUCUCGAAAACUAAUUCGCUCUGCGAGCAGAGGUUCGAAUCCUCUCGCCAGCG